rnacentral:rRNA from 1 species
UUCCGUGCCCAUAGCGACGUGGCUCCACCCGAUCCCAUCCCGAACUCGGAAGUUAAGCACGUCAGCGCCCAUGAUAGUUGGGGAGCAGUCCCCCGCAAAAGUAGGUCGGUGCGGAAA